AACGAACGGGACCUACCUGAUCCGAGGUCAAGAGUGUAAAAAUGUACUUUUGGACGUCGUCGUUAUGAGUGCAAAGCGCGAGAUGUACUGCGCUCCGAAAUCAAUACGCCGGCUGCCAAUUUUUUUGAGGCGAGUCUACGCGCAGAGGCGAGACAAACACCCAACACCAAGCAAAGCUUGAAGGUACAAAUGACGCUCGAACAGGCAUGCCCCAUGGAAUACCAAGGGGCGCAAUGUGCGUUCAAAGAUUCGAUGAUUCACUGAAUUCUGCAAUUCACACUACUUAUCGCAUUUCGCUGCGUUCUUCAUCGAUGCCAGAACCAAGAGAUCCGUUGUUGAAAGUUGUAACUAUUAAGUUUUUUCAGACGCUGAUUGCAACUGCAAAUGGUUUAAAUUGUCCAAUCGGCGGGCGGACCCGCCGAGGAAACGAAGGUACUCAAAAGACAUGGGUAAGAGAUAGCAGGCAAAGCCUACAACUCUAGGUAAUGAUCCUUCCGCAGGUCACCUACGGAAGAGCUCCACCUAGAGAUGUGGGCAUUGAAUGCUAUCAAAAAUCUUGUGUCUUGAGUACGUGCUGUACUUCAACUGUUUUCAUACCCCCAUAACCUGGCCCACUAUUUAUCGCCGUCCGGACCGCCACCAUUAAACUUACAAUCCUUUCAAGACCGCUCUUUUGUGUUCGGGCCCGUCUGGACACUCCAUCUAAUGGCUUCAUGCCCAGGGGAAGAUCUCAAGCUCUUGGAAAAACCAAAAAAUCUAUUUUCAAAAUUACUCCCAUUUCUUUAUGAGCGUCCGGGGU
rnacentral:misc_RNA from 1 species